AGUGAACGCUGGCGGUAGGCCUAACACAUGCAAGUCGAACGGCAGCACAGUAAGAGCUUGCUCUUACGGGUGGCGAGUGGCGGACGGGUGAGGAAUACAUCGGAAUCUACUUUUUCGUGGGGGAUAACGUAGGGAAACUUACGCUAAUACCGCAUACGACCUACGGGUGAAAGCAGGGGAUCUUCGGACCUUGCGCUAUUGAAUGAGCCGAUGUCGGAUUAGCUAGUUGGCGGGGUAAAGGCCCACCAAGGCGACGAUCCGUAGCUGGUCUGAGAGGAUGAUCAGCCACACUGGAACUGAGACACGGUCCAGACUCCUACGGGAGGCAGCAGUGGGGAAUAUUGGACAAUGGGCGCAAGCCUGAUCCAGCCAUACCGCGUGGGUGAAGAAGGCCUUCGGGUUGUAAAGCCCUUUUGUUGGGAAAGAAAAGCAGCAGGUGAAUACCCCGCUGUUCUGACGGUACCCAAAGAAUAAGCACCGGCUAACUUCGUG
rnacentral:rRNA from 1 species